GACGAACGCUGGCGGCGUGCUUAACACAUGCAAGUCGAACGGAAAGGCCCUGCUUUUGUGGGGUGCUCGAGUGGCGAACGGGUGAGUAACACGUGAGUAACCUGCCCUUGACUUUGGGAUAACUUCAGGAGACUGGGGCUAAUACCGGAUAGGAGCUCCUGCUGCAUGGUGGGGGUUGGAAAGUUUCGGCGGUUGGGGAUGGACUCGCGGCUUAUCAGCUUGUUGGUGGGGUAGUGGCUUACCAAGGCUUUGACGGGUAGCCGGCCUGAGAGGGUGACCGGCCACAUUGGGACUGAGAUACGGCCCAGACUCCUACGGGAGGCAGCAGUGGGGAAUAUUGCACAAUGGGCGGAAGCCGGAUGCAGCAACGCCGCGUGCGGGAUGACGGCCUUCGGGUUGUAAACCGCUUUCGCCUGUGACGAAGCGUGAGUGACGGUAAUGGGUAAAGAAGCACCGGCUAACUACGU
rnacentral:rRNA from 1 species